rnacentral:lncRNA from 1 species
UCCGAUCAUAAUUUAUUAAGUUUCUCCGUUUGUACUCUACGUUGUGUUGCAUAUGUCAAGCACUCUUCUCUUUCUUUCUUUUUUUCUUUUUUUCCUUUUGUGAUAAGUGCACUUCUCUUCUCUUUCUUCUUGCCAUAUUUCAUAUUUCUAUUGAGUUGUAUAUACUGGGGAAUGAGCUGGGCUUGAAGACAGCGACCAUGAAUUUCUGCUUAAAAAGGAGAUCUAUAACACGCAUGAAUAGCCACCAGCUCCACUUACUUGCAGCCUUAUAUUUUGCACAUGAAUCAAACCAGCAAGGAUGAGUAUGAUAGAGCUGGAGUUUUGAUCUUUGUCAUUUCAAAGCCAAUCGAGACUCUUGCUUUCACUUACACGUAAACAAUGUAAAGGUCGUUGACAGAUCUGGGAGACAUCAAUCUAUAUUCUGUUCCAGCUAGAAGAGUGAUCCUUCUUUUCCCAGUAAUAUGAUAUAUACAUUGCUCGUCUCGAAUGACUGAUGGUAAGUUAUUUGUUAGGACACUUCUGAGGUGAAGAUAGUUUAUACUUUUCUGACAGUAUACUGUGCUCAGAUGCGUGCGUUACUUGGUCACGCUAUUCACCUUGUGAUAUAUGUUUCUUGCUCUUAAAUGCGCAGUUUAGGCAUGAAAGAUUCAUGGGGACCUUUAAAGGCUUUGGCCG